rnacentral:rRNA from 1 species
UCGAGAAUUUUUCUCAAUGGGCGAAAGCCUGAAGGAGCGACGCCGCGUGGGGGAUGAAGGGCUUCGGCCCGUAAACCCCUGUCAUUUGCGAACAAACCUUACAAUCUAACAAACCGUGAGCUGAUAGUAGCGAAAGAGGAAGGGACGGCUAACUCUGUGCCAGCAGCCGCGGUAAUACAGAGGUCCCAAGCGUUGUUCGGAUUCACUGGGCGUAAAGGGUGCGUAGGUGGCAGGGUAAGUUUGAUGUGAAAUCUCCGGGCUUAACCCGGAAACUGCAUUGAAUACUACCUUGCUAGAGGUUUGGAGGGGGGACUGGAAUUCUCGGUGUAGCAGUGAAAUGCGUAGAUAUCGAGAGGAACACCAGUGGCGAAGGCGAGUCCCUGGACAACACCUGACACUGAGGCACGAAAGCUAGGGGAGCAAACAGGAUUAGAUACCCCCGUAGUCC